GUGCUCGCUUCGGCAGCACAUAUACUAAAAUUGGAACGAUACAGAGAAGAUUAGCAUGGCCCCUAAAAAAAAAUAAAACAGGGAGGGGGCAGAGAAACUGCAUAGAUUA